rnacentral:rRNA from 1 species
UACGGAGGGUGCAAGCGUUGCUCGGAAUCACUGGGCGUAAAGGGUGCGUAGGCGGUCUCGCAAGUCUGGCGUGAAAGCCCAAGGCUCAGCCUUGGAAGUGCGCUCGAAACGGCGAGGCUGGAGUGCCGGAGGGGAGAGUGGAAUUCCCGGUGUAGCGGUGAAAUGCGCAGAUAUCGGGAGGAACACCAAUGGCGAAGGCAGCUCGCUGGGACGUGACUGACGCUGAGACGCGAAAGCGUGGGGAGCAAACAGG